GAUGAAGAACGUAGCGAAAUGCGAUAAGUAAUGUGAAUUGCAGAAUUCAGUGAAUCAUCGAAUCUUUGAACGCACAUUGCGCCCGCUGGUAUUCCGGCGGGCAUGCCUGUUCGAGCGUCAUUUCAACCCUCAAGCCCCCGGGUUUGGUGUUGGGGAUCGGCUCUGCCUUCUGGCGGUGCCGCCCCCGAAAUACAUUGGCGGUCUCGCUGCAGCCUCCAUUGCGUAGUAGCUAACACCUCGCAACUGGAACGCGGCGCGGCCAUGCCGUAAAACCCCAACUUCUGAAUGUUGACCUCGGAUCAGGUAGGAAUACCCGCUGAACUUAAGCAUAUCAAUAAGCGGAGGA
rnacentral:misc_RNA from 1 species